AGCAGAAGCAGUAUCUUGCAGAGGGUAGGAGUCUAGCUCAGAACACACACAGACUUGAGGUCAAAUCCCAGCUCUGUGACUUUCUUGCUGUGUGACCUUGGGAAGCGGCUUCGCAGCUCUGAGCUGGUUUCCACUUCUGAAAACCCAUAAUCAUAACUGUACCUCUUGCAGGGAGGAGGCAAUAUGGAACGCAGAGCCCACGUGUGCCCAGCAUUUGGCAAGUACUCGGGGAAGGAAUUAGGAAGGGCAGGAGUUACAUCAUUCACUUCUUUAUACAGCUGAGAAAACAAGCAGAGGAGGUUCAGCGAGGUGAGGCCGGUUGCCCAAGGUCACACAGCCUGUAGCGGGCCAGGGGCCCGGGCCAGGCUGUCCGACCUGCGCUCUAAUCACUGAGCCCCCCGGCCCGAACCUGCCCCCUCCCCGUUGCUUUGCCCCGGUCUCCGUGGCCCUUGGGCGCCGGAAGGCCGCGUGGGGGCCGCGGAGACCAGUGGCAGGGCCAGGGCCUAGCCCGCGGGGCGGGAGGGGUUAACGGGCUCCGCCGCAUUGGGCCGGCCUCCGGGAGAAUCAGCCAAUGGGCGAGCGCCGCGAUGAGCAGAUCUGUCCUCAUCUUCAGCCACGCCUCCCUUCUGCAGAGUCAUUUUUGAUUCUGCACCACCCCCACCACCCCCCCCAGCUGGAGAUGGAAGGAGGAUGCUGGCCAUUCAUUCCUCAUCCAGGCCAUCGAUGGAAAUGUCAGACCGCGCAAGUCCACGCCUGAACACCCCUCGUGGCCGCCGGGCGCUGACGCUGGCAGAUCCAUUGAUGAGCUUGGCGCCUGCCACCUCUGGGUCUGCCUCAGAGCGACGCGGCCACAGGCCUGGCUCGUGGCUUCUCCGGAGUUGACUCCGAAUGCACAGCGUGGGCCUAAUAGGGAGCUGGGGGCAAGCGCAUACAGCACGCCCUGUCUGCAGACGGCGCAGUGCUGUGUACUGUUGAUCUGAUGCUGGGCGUCCACGGGCUGGCGCAGGAGGAAAACAGGAUCAGGCAGGUGACAUAAGACAGAUGGGGACGCUACCGUAGCCCUAAUGGUGAAGACCUGGGUCACACAGGCCUGUCAUCCCUGACCCCAAAUCCCUGGGCAGAAGGUUCGAGAACUCGGAAUUUUUCCAGUUGUAGAAAGAUGAUCUGACACGUAUACCGCCUAUUUCCUAACACCCCCCAAGGAGGUGUGGGGCAACCCCUGCAAUCAAACAAGUUAAUAUGUCUGCAGCAGAGCACACGAACAAAGAGAUGAUGAUGACUCGCCAAAUCCCAGUUCCUCGACUUGCCACUGGGGCCGUGGUGCCCAGCUCCUGGGGUGGUCCCGAGAAUUUGAUGCCUGCCGUGCCUCAGACACAGGUGCAUGUCCUGCCCCCGCCCUUUGCACUUGCUGCUCCUUUCCGGGACAUUCCUCUCCAGGAUGGCUUUCUCACUUCCACGCGGGCUCUGCUCAAACGUCACCCACCUCCUCAGCGAGGCUCGCCCUGGCCAUGCCCGCCUCCUCCCGCCCCUUCUCGCUCUCCUUCCUCUUCCUUCUCAGCACCUACCACCUGACCUCUAACUUAAUCAAUAACUCAUUUAUCCGUUGCCUGCUCUCCCUCGGUGGAGUCUGGGCCUCUCGAGGGCAGGACUCCUUUCUGUCCCUCCAGCACCUAGGACAGUACCCGCGCAGGUGGGCCCUCCCAGUCUUGGUUCGGGAACAACAAACAGUCUGUUCAAGUGCCCAGCACAUCAUCAGAAAGCCUCAAUAAAGCUGAGCUGGUACCAUCACCAUUACUGACGUUA